rnacentral:rRNA from 1 species
GUCUAUGAUUACACUAUGUGAAUGUGCCUAAUCUCUCUCAUCUCAAAAGCUAAGCAGGCUCAGCCUUGGUUAUACUUGGAUAGGAGACCACCUGGGAAUGGUGGGUGCUGUAGGGU